GUGAAUCAUCGAAUCUUUGAACGCAACUUGCACUUUUCUCGGUGAGUAUGCCUGUUUGAGGGUCAGCCUAUAAAAAAUCGACAUCGUUGCUGUUUCUCGGUGACGUUCGUCGGAAAUUUGGUCAUCUUAAAUCUUUUGGGUUUAAGCGACUUAAAAUUUUCUUUUUGAUCCCAUGAACGUGUUUCUAAGAUUUAUUUCUUUACACGUUUAUGGUAUCGAUUUUUAGUAGAAGUGACCAUCAUAUAGGAUUUCGUCC
rnacentral:misc_RNA from 1 species